CCGCCAGCUCCCCCCGCAUCCCCUUUGCUUUCCUCCGCCUCUGGGGGCCCUCCUCCGUGACCCCUGAAUGCCCCCCACUUCCCUCAGAUCCACACCUCGCACCUGUCAGUGCCCCGCCCCGUCCUGCCCAGUCCCAGGGGAUCGACAGCGCCCGCCCGGGGCCUCUCCCAACCCCAGCGCCGUCCUCCGCGCGGUUCCCACUUGCUGCCCCCUCGCCACCACCCGUGCCCCUCGGCUCCCUGGGUCUUCAGAGGUCCCCCUCUCCUCCUCCCAAGACCGCAGUUCCCUCCCCUCCCUUCCCCUCUCCUCCUCUGCUGCUGAGCGACUUUUCCUGCUCCCUUGCAUUCUCACGCAGGCCGUUAAGGAAUAGAAACACAAGACAAAAAUUUCCUACCUAUUUCCUCUGUAAAAUGGGCAUGGAAGAUUAGUAUGGAGUUGUUAAAAUAAUGUGUGUAAUGCCAGCUACAGGUUUGUCUACCAUUGUCCCACUUGCCUGAAUAAAUUGCUUUCUGAAGGCAUGAAGACUUAGACAAGAAAAACAAGUGGAAAGAGGCUGGUCACAGAAAGCUGAGCAGUUCAAAACUCAUUAGGUGGGGAGCUAAGCAAGUUGGGACUUCCUGGCCGGCUCCUGGUCACAGCAGCAGGCGGGAGCAUCCGCCCAGAUCCCCC